UGAACGCUGGCGGCGUGCCUAAUACAUGCAAGUCGAGCGAACAGAUGAGGAGCUUGCUCCUCUGACGUUAGCGGCGGACGGGUGAGUAACACGUGGAUAACCUACCUAUAAGACUGGGAUAACUUCGGGAAACCGGAGCUAAUACCGGAUAAUAUAUUGAACCGCAUGGUUCAAUAGUGAAAGACGGUUUUGCUGUCACUUAUAGAUGGAUCCGCGCCGCAUUAGCUAGUUGGUAAGGUAACGGCUUACCAAGGCAACGAUGCGUAGCCGACCUGAGAGGGUGAUCGGCCACACUGGAACUGAGACACGGUCCAGACUCCUACGGGAGGCAGCAGUAGGGAAUCUUCCGCAAUGGGCGAAAGCCUGACGGAGCAACGCCGCGUGGGUGAUGAAGGUCUUCGGAUCGUAAAGCUCUGUUAUUAGGGAAGAACAAAUGUGUAAGUAACUAUGCACGUCUUGACGGUACCUAAUCAGAAAGCCACGGCUAACUACGUG
rnacentral:rRNA from 1 species